GAAGCGAAUCAGGCAAUCGCUUUUAAUAAAAAAAAUUAAAAGAGGAAAGUCCGAACACCGAAGGGCGGCGAGCCGGAUAACGUCCGGGCAUUUGGGUUUUUUAUAAAAAUCCAAAUGACGACAAGUGCAACAGAAAACAAAACAGCCAUAUCUUAAUUGAAAAGGUGAUGUGUGAAACGGUGCGGUAAGAGCGCACCAGCGCGCCUUGGCGACAGGGCGCGGCUAGGCAAACUCCUCGCGGUGCAAGACCAAAUAGGGAAACAUUUUGAGCUGCCCGUUCAAACUGCCCGAAAUUCGGGCGCGUGUUUCCGGGUAGGUCGCUCGAGCUUUUCGGCAACGAAAAGUCUAGAUGAAUGAUUGCCGCUUUGAAUUUUUUCAAAGAACAAAACUCGGCUUAUCGAUUCAUUUCGCAC
rnacentral:RNase_P_RNA from 1 species